rnacentral:rRNA from 1 species
UACGGGGGGGGCAAGCGUUGUUCGGAAUUACUGGGCGUAAAGGGCUCGUAGGCGGCCAACUAAGUCGAACGUGAAAUCCCUGGGCUCAACCCAGGAACUGCGUCCGAUACUGGGAGGCUUGAAUCCGGGAGAGGGAUGCGGAAUUCCAGGUGUAGCGGUGAAAUGCGUAGAUAUCUGGAGGAACACCGGUGGCGAAGGCGGCAUCCUGGACCGGCAUUGACGCUGAGGCGCGAAAGCCAGGGGAGCAAACGGG